rnacentral:rRNA from 1 species
UACGUAGGGCGCAAGCGUUUGUCCGGAAUUAUUGGGCGUAAAGGGCUCGUAGGCGGUUUGUCGCGUCGGGAGUGAAAUCCACUGGCUUAACUGGUGGCUUGCUUUCGAUACGGGCAGACUGGAGGUAUGCAGGGGAGAACGGAAUUCCUGGUGUAGCGGUGAAAUGCGCAGAUAUCAGGAGGAACACCGGUGGCGAAGGCGGUUCUCUGGGCAUGUCCUGACGCUGAGGAGCGAAAGUGUGGGGAGCGAACAGG